AAUAUUGGACAAUGGGGGCAACCCUGAUCCAGCCAUGCCGCGUGUGUGAAGCAGGUCUNCGGAUUNUNAAGCACUUUAAGUUGGGNGGAAGGGCUUUAGGUUAAUACCCUGAAGUUUUGACGUUACCAAUAGAUUAAGCACCGGCGAACUCUGUGCCAGCAGCCGCGGUAAUACAGAGGGUGCAAGCGUUAAUCGGAAUUACUGGGCGUAAAACGGGCGUUGGGGGUUAAAUAAAGUUGGAGUGAAAUGCCCCGGGUUAAUCUGGGAAAUGCUUUCAUAACUGCUGAGCUAGAGGACGGUAAAGGGUAGUGGAAUUUCCUGUGUAGCGGUGAAAUGCGUAGAUAUAGGAAGGAACACCAGUGGCGAAGGCGACUACCUGGACUGAUACUGACACUGAGGUGCGAAAGCGUGGGGAGCAAAC
rnacentral:rRNA from 1 species